AAAGUUUACCUGGUCAAAAAUGGGAGGAAAUUUAGGGUAUGUCUAGUGGUUUAGUUCAUACAUGAAAUUAUGAUUUUAUUUAGAAAUUAAGUUAAUUUGCUUUGAUUUUUAUACUUUUAUUUAACUAAAUGGGUUAGCGAUAGUAGUGAUUAGUUUUAUUUAGUUUACGAAUUGUAUGAUAUAGCAAUAGUUUAUAGUUCCAACAAAUAUUUGUGCCAGCAGUUGCGGUUAUACAAAAGGUGCUAUUUAAUUUUUAUGGUUUUAGUAAAUUAAUAGAUGAGUUUAUAUAAUUUAUAUUGAGAGGUGAAAUUUUAAUAUAAAAUAAAGGAUAAAGAGAUAAUUGAUCUAAGAAAAUAUUGUUUUAGACCAGGAUUAGAUACCCUGUUAUUAAUAUCGUAUAUAGAAAACCGGAUUAGUAUUAGUGAAGUGCUUGAAAGUUAAAUGUCUUGGCGGUACUCAAACCUACCAGAGGAACCUGUCCUGUAAUUGAUAGUCCACAAUUUAUUUUACUUUUAAAUUGCUUGUAUAUCGUUGUUGUAAUGAAGAUUUUUAAAGAAUUUUAAUUUUCUUUAAAUAAUAUUUUAUUUUAGAUCAAAUCAAGGUGCAGCUUUUAAGAGAAGAGAUGGGUUACAUUAAUAAAUUUGAAUUUGUAAAUUUCAUUUUAUUAGGAUUUGGAAGUAAUUUUAUUAAUUAAAAUAAAAUGAAUCGGGCUCUAGAGUAUGCACAUAUCGCCCGUCGCUUUCAUGAAUUUGUGAAAUAAGUCGUAACAUAGUAGAUCUAUCGGAAGAUGGCUCUGGAAUGAC
rnacentral:ncRNA from 1 species